rnacentral:rRNA from 1 species
GACGAACGCUGGCGGCGUGCUUAACACAUGCAAGUCGAACGGAAAGGCCCUGCUUUUGUGGGGUGCUCGAGUGGCGAACGGGUGAGUAACACGUGAGUAACCUGCCCUUGACUUUGGGAUAACUUCAGGAAACUGGGGCUAAUACCGGAUAGGAGCUCCUGCUGCAUGGUGGGGGUUGGAAAGUUUCGGCGGUUGGGGAUGGACUCGCGGCUUAUCAGCUUGUUGGUGGGGUAGUGGCUUACCAAGGCUUUGACGGGUAGCCGGCCUGAGAGGGUGACCGGCCACAUUGGGACUGAGAUACGGCCCAGACGCCUACGGGAGGCAGCAGUGGGGAAUAUUGCACAAUGGGCGGAAGCCUGAUGCAGCAACGCCGCGUGCGGGAUGACGGCAUUCGGGUUGUAAACCGCUUUCGCCUGUGACGAAGCGUGAGUGACGGGAAUGGGUAAAGAAGCACCGGCUAACGACG